GAUGAAGAACGUAGCGAAAUGCGAUAAGUAAUGUGAAUUGCAGAAUUCAGUGAAUCAUCAAGUCUUUGAACGCACAUUGCGCCCCCUGGUAUUCCGGGGGGCAUGCCUGUCCGAGCGUCAUUGCUGCCCUCAAGCACGGCUUGUGUGUUGGGCCUCCGUCCUCCUCCCGGGGGACGGGCCCGAAAGGCAGCGGCGGCACCGCGUCCGGUCCUCGAGCGUAUGGGGCUUCGUCACCCGCUCUUGUAGGCCCGGCCGGCGCUUGCCGACACAUCAAUCUUUUUUCCAGGUUGACCUCGGAUCAGGUAGGGAUACCCGCUGAACUUAAGCAUAUCAAUAAGCGGAGGA
rnacentral:misc_RNA from 1 species